GAGAGCCGGAUGCCCGAAAUGGGCAAGUCCGGUUCGGUGAGGGCUGGGGCGACGCGCUGAGCUGCGCGUCCCCUGGCUACUCGGGU
rnacentral:ncRNA from 1 species